rnacentral:rRNA from 1 species
AUUGAACGCUGGCGGCAUGCCUUACACAUGCAAGUCGAACGGUAACGGGUCCUUCGGGAUGCCGACGAGUGGCGAACGGGUGAGUAAUAUAUCGGAACGUGCCCAGUAGUGGGGGAUAACUGCUCGAAAGAGCAGCUAAUACCGCAUACGACCUGAGGGUGAAAGGGGGGGAUAGCAAGACCUUUCGCCAUUGGAGCGGCCGAUAUCAGAUUAGCUAGUUGGUGGGGUAAGGGCCUACCAAGGCAACGAUCUGUAGUUGGUCUGAGAGGACGACCAGCCACACUGGGACUGAGACACGGCCCAGACUCCUACGGGAGGCAGCAGUGGGGAAUUUUGGACAAUGGUCGCAAGCCUGAUCCAGCAAUGCCGCGUGCAGGAUGAAGGCCUUCGGGUUGUAAACUGCUUUUGUGCGGAACGAAAAGCCCUGGGUUAAUACCCUGGGGUCAUGACGGUACCGUAAGAAUAAGCACCGGCUAACUACGUGCCAGCCGCCGCCGUAA